UGCCUCAGGGCAGCAGAGCUCAGACCCUGACCUGCCCUCUGCCAGCCACGCAGCCAGUCUCCUUCCAGCGGGCGCAGCAGGGAGGCCACCCUGGGCUUCUCGCCACCAGGUGGGCAGCAGAGCCAUGCUGGGUCCCCUCGACGUCCUGUGCGCCCUCCUGCUUCCCGGCGGCGUGGCAGCGCUCAGCAUGGAGCAGCCGGCUGUGGUCGUGGGGCGUGUAGGCGGCUGGGCCACCCUGUCCUGCACCGCCAGCGCCUCGGUCAGCUACAUGCACUGGUAUCGCCACCAAGAGGGAGCUGCCCCCAAGAGGAUCCUCAGACUGGAAAUGUCCAACUCACAUGUGAGCAGAGACGAUGCCUUGAGAGAGGACAAGGUCUACAUCAAGAAAGGCAAGGAUAGCAAAAGCUGUGACCUGUUGCUGCUGAAGCUGGAGAAGAGUGACGAAGGCGUGUAUUACUGCGCUGCCUGGGAGAGUUUCGGGUAUUACUGGUACCACAAAGUGUUCGGUCCUGGCACGCUGCUCAGGGUCACAGAUAAAAAUCCGGAUGAAGACAUUUCCCCCAAGCCUACCAUUUUUUUCCCUUCAACUACUGAAGUAAAACUCCAUGACGCUGGAACGUAUCUUUGUCUUCUUGAGGAUUUCUUCCCCGAUGUAAUCACGAUAGAUUGGAAAGAAAAGAAUGGCAAAACAGUUCUGCAAUCCCAGCAAGGAAACACCGUGAAAACUAAGGACACAUACAUGAAAUACACUUGGCUGACCGUACCUAAAAAGUCAAUGGAUAAAGAACAAAAAUGUAUCGUCAAACACGAGAGGAAUAGAGGAGGGGUUGCUCAAGAGAUACUUUUUCCAUCAAUAAACAAAGUUUUGGCAGAGGCGAAACAAUCGGAAGUGGACCCCCAGGGGCGUUCAGACACAAGGCGAAACACUGGGGUGGUAACUGUGAGCCCUGUGGGUUCUCUGUCCUCCUCACCGGUGACCUGGGCUGCGGAGCUCACUGCCAUUAACUCCACAAAAGCUUCUCUGAGAGAUGAAAAUGACGCCCUGCAGCUGCAGCGCAUGAGCACCUCUGCCUACUACACCUACGUCCUCCUCCUGGCCAAGAGCGGGGUCUACUCCAUCCUCAUCGUCAUUGGUCUGCUUGGGAGAGCAGCGCUGGGAGACAACGGGAAGGGAUCCUGACCCAUGGCGGCACCAAGGGUCCACCUUUCUUCAUCGGCUCUUGUCACAAAAAGUGUCUGCUGAGGAAUUAGCGGGGCUUCCUU